AGGGCCUGCAGGUCUCUCACUCUGGCCCUUCCUCCUGAGAACAAAAAGAAGCACCAUGCAUGGUGGGUCCUUAGGAAGAAAAAGAAGGAAGAAGGAAUAGUCUAAUCAGAGCCUCCUUCCUUGUAUCUGUGGGGAAACUGAGACUGGAGCCAGAGGAACUUCCCUAAAAUCACACAAGCAAAUUCCUGGCAGGAUUGGGACUUGAACCUUUGUCUUCUGCCCACCAGCUCACCACUCCCACCAAUGUUCAGAGGAUCAAGUAUACUGGGGGUGCCAAAACA